rnacentral:sRNA from 1 species
CGGCGCGAGAAUCGAAGCACAAGCACGCAGAUGCAGAUGGAGGCCAUUUCGCUAAAUUGGCAGAGAUGAACCAGCCUUGAAGAUGGCUCUGCCUCCACCACAAAACCGAGAUCAGUCACGCAUUCUCAACACCAACAACACACUCAUUCUUAUUCACGAUUGAAUUUGGCCUUCCAUCUUCCGUUUGGUUUUUCAGCUGUUCAGCGACACACUAUCUCAAACCCAAUCGGCACAGUGAAAUACGUUGACAGCACUUCUGGUGUGACACUAAAAAGGCAGGGUUGAUGUCAACACAGUGGAUGUGGGUGGGACACAAAUACAAAAGGUCUCAUGAUAA